AUACGAACCGGACAAACGUUAUUCGGAAUCAUUGGGCUUAAAGGGUGCGUAGGCGGCGUAGUAAGUGAGGUGUGAAAGCCCUCGGCUCAACCGAGGAAUUGCGCUUCAUACUGCUAUGCUCGAGGGAGACAGGGGUAAGCGGAACUGAUGGUGGAGCGGUGAAAUGCGUUGAUAUCAUCAGGAACACCAGUGGCGAAAGCGGCUUACUGGGUCUCUUCUGACGCUGAGGCGCGAAAGCUAGGGUAGCGAACGGGAUUAGAAACCCUAGUAGUCC
rnacentral:rRNA from 1 species